rnacentral:misc_RNA from 1 species
GGAUUGCAUAGAGUUUCUGGAUAUCCAGUUUACGCCGACUCUGCAAUGAGCAAGAGAGCCAUCGAUUGACCGACUUGAGUUUUUGAUCUGACAAAGGGGAAUUUGGACUCGGGAUCAUGCUUUUCAGAAGCAUUUCCCCACAUAAUAUUCUGUGAAGAUCAAAUCUCUCUCCUGACAGUGCACUAUCCAGUCAGUUUCUUUGGCUGUGGGGAAGGAAGUUCAGUUUCGC